rnacentral:rRNA from 1 species
AGAGUUUGAUCCUGGCUCAGAACGAACGCUGGCGGCAGGCCUAACACAUGCAAGUCGAGCGCGCCUUUCGGGGUGAGCGGCGGACGGGUUAGUAACGCGUGGGAAUAUGCCCUUUGGUACGGAAUAGCCUCUGGAAACGGAGAGUAAUACCGUAUGAGCCCUUCGGGGGAAAGAUUUAUCGCCAAAGGAUUAGCCCGCGUUAGAUUAGGUAGUUGGUGGGGUAAUGGCCUACCAAGCCUACGAUCUAUAGCUGGUUUUAGAGGAUGAUCAGCAACACUGGGACUGAGACACGGCCCAGACUCCUACGGGAGGCAGCAGUGGGGAAUCUUGGACAAUGGGGGCAACCCUGAUCCAGCCAUGCCGCGUGAGUGAUGAAGGCCUUAGGGUCGUAAAGCUCUUUCGCCUGUGAAGAUAAUGACGGUAGCAGGUAAAGAAGCCCCGGCUAACUCCGUGCCAGCAGCCGCGGUAAUACGGAGGGGGUUAGCGUUGUUCGGAAUUACUGGGCGUAAAGCGCACGUAGGCGGAUCGGAAAGUUGGGGGUGAAAUCCCGGGGCUCAACCCCGGAACUGCCUCCAAAACUAUCGGUCUAGAG